rnacentral:rRNA from 1 species
UGGGGAAUUUUGGACAAUGGGCGAAAGCCUGAUCCAGCAAUGCCGCGUGUGUGAAGAAGGCCUUCGGGUUGUAAAGCACUUUUGUCCGGAAAGAAAUCCUUGGCUCUAAUACAGUCGGGGGAUGACGGUACCGGAAGAAUAAGCACCGGCUAACUACGUGCCAGCAGCCGCGGUAAUACGUAGGGUGCAAGCGUUAAUCGGAAUUACUGGGCGUAAAGCGUGCGCAGGCGGUUUGCUAAGACCGAUGUGAAAUCCCCGGGCUCAACCUGGGAACUGCAUUGGUGACUGGCAGGCUAGAGUAUGGCAGAGGGGGGUAGAAUUCCACGUGUAGCAGUGAAAUGCGUAGAGAUGUGGAGGAAUACCGAUGGCGAAGGCAGCCCCCUGGGCCAAAUACUGACGCUCAUGCACGAAAGCGUGGGGAGCAAACAGGAUUAGAUACCCUGGUAGUCCACGCCCUAAAACGAUGUCAACUAGUUGUUGGGGAUUCAUUUCCUAGUAACGUAGCUAACGCGUGAAGUUGACCGCCUGGGGGAGUACGGUCGCAAGAUUAAAACUUAAAGGAAUUGACGGGGUCAUAGCUGUUUCCU